CUGCCUGGAAUGCCCUCCCUCUUCACACCCCUCCACAGUGCUGACCUUGGGAAAUCCUGCUCAUUCUGCAAGGCUCACCUUAAACUUCAGUUCUGUGCCCCUUCCCAGAUUUCUAGGGAUACUUCUGUGAAGAGAAACUCUCCCCUCAUUAUCUCUUUGGUGAGGUGAAGUGAAGUUCAUAUAAGGAACCCAGGAUAAAUUCUUUCCCUUUAUCUACCAUAUGCAGAAUAGAAAAGAGAGAAAGAAAAGAGGAACAAUUUUCGAAUCACUCCUCCGACCACGGAAAUGCUUUUAAUUACCAGUUCAUCUGUUGGCACACUCUUCUGGCAGAGAUGUACCUGUAAAGAAGUUAUUCGGGACCAAAUCAGAAUCAGCUCCAAAUAGCAAAGCCUGCCAGAAAAAACAGACAAACUCUCAGGAACAACAAUGCCCAUUAUGCGUGCAGUAGGAGCUGCCAGACUUUGAUUACUGGCCAGGCAUUAACCCCUUUGGUGUCAUAUGGGGGAAAUGCCAAGUCUGAAUCCAGACACUUCCAGGAUUUUAAGUCACUUGUGGUGAAAGACCAGAUGAUUUAUAAUGACUUUUGCAAAAAAUGGCUAUUGUGAAAAGGAAGUGCAAGUUCAAGGCCACAUCUCCUUGCUUCCUGAAUUCUGCCAUGACUCACUCAUUCUGGCAAGCAAACAUACACUCAAUUACCUCUGCUUUUCCCUUUGUAGGACUGCAGGUCGUGGGUGAGAUGUACAGUGCUCUUGUUAUCUCCCCUCCUGUGUUUUCAGACAGAUGUCACAAGGAGAGAGGCAUAUUCGGCACUCACAGAGGAGUACCUGUGGGUUCCGUGAGACCGCCAUUUACAGUAAAGCUGCUAGAAAGGAGAAUUCCUGCAAAUGCUCUUGUGAUCAGUUUUUUUCUCUUGUUAUAUACCCUGUAGGUCAACAGACUAUGUCUCAUUUUGAGAGGUCAGAUAAUCAGAGAGCAAUGCAGUUUAUAGUGGGAGGGUGAUGGUAUGUGUAUAUGGCUGUGUGUGUGUGUAUAUGUGUGUGUGUGUGUGUGUGUGUGCUUUUGUGUGUGUGUGUGUGUGUAGUUUAUUUGUGUUUUUAUUUUACUCUUUAAUAUAUAUUUAUUGAUAAUCUGUUGUGGGGUGUGUGGGGACACCAUGUUAAUUACAAUCAUAACAAUAGGUACUAUUUAUUGAGAGCUUAUUGCAUGUCAGUAUUAUGUUAAACAUUUCACAUACACAAAUUUUAAUUCACUUAGUUCUUUUUUAAAAACUUUAUGAAAGCCUCAUUUUGUGUGUGUUACAUGCCAUUGAGUCAGCUCCA